GGAUUGAUGAAGAGAACAAUUGUCUGAGGAUGCUGAGGGACUCUUUCCAGAUAGCAAUCUGAGGUCC
ensembl:snoRNA